AUUCAGAUUUAGAGUAUAUAUGUGUACUAUUGUAAUUAAGUUCUUUUUUGUGAUUCAUUUUUUUACAUUCAUUGAUUUUGGUAUAUAUAUAAAUAUAUAUAUAAAUAUGUUUUUGUGUGAAAUUUCUUUCAGGUAUUAUUAUGGUAAAUUAUAUUUAUGGUAUUCAUUUUUUUUUGCCAAUGAUGUUAAAAUAAUGAGGAUGCUUAUUAUGUUGGUGAUUAUAGGACUUAUUGUGUUUUAUAUUUUUUAAAGGCAUACAAAGUGUCAUAAAUGCCCAUAAUAAGUCAUUCUUUUUUCUUUCUGAAAUCCUUAUGAUGAUUAAAUUGGGGGUAUUCUAUUAUUAAAUUGGGAAUUUUGUUAUACUGUAAUUCACAACAUCAUUAGUCUCCCAACCGUCUCAAAUCUUGUCGGCAUUCUUACAAGGGAAUAUCAUAGGACUGACUUUUAAGGUGGAUGCCUAGAUUUAUUAGGAAGAAUAUUGAGAAAAUAAACAUGAUUGAGUGUGCAGUGAUUUGGAGAAAGAAUUAUGUUGUCUUGUUGAGAUUUAUUGUAUUAUAUAUUUUUAAGUUUAUGGAUUUAUAAUAUUAUAAUGAAUUUUUAUUGAUAAUUAUUUAAUCUCAUGGGGAUUUUAUGUAUUA